rnacentral:rRNA from 1 species
GAGUUUGAUCAUGGCUCAGGACGAACGCUGGCGGCGUGCCUAACACAUGCAAGUCGGACGGAGAAUUUCGAAGAGUUUACUUAGAGAAAUUUUUAGUGGCGGACGGGUGAGUAACGCGUGGGUAACCUACCCAUAAACCCGGGACAACCCUUGGAAACGAGGGCUAAUACCGGAUAAUCUUUGGGAGUGGCAUCACUCUUUAAGAAAAGGUGGCCUCUGAAUAUGCUACCGAUUAUGGAUGGACCCGCGUCUGAUUAGCUAGUUGGUGGGGUAAAGGCCUACCAAAGCGACGAUCAGUAGCCGGCCUGAGAGGGUGAACGGCCACACUGGGACUGAGACACGGCCCAGACUCCUACGGGAGGCAGCAGUGGGGAAUCUUCCGCAAUGGACGAAAGUCUGACGGAGCAACGCCGCGUGUAUGAUGAAGGUCUUCGGAUUGUAAAGUACUGUCUUUGGGGAAGAAUGAUUGGUUUGAAAAUAUUGAGCCAAUAUGACGGUACCCAAGGAGGAAGCCCCGGCUAACUACGUGCCAGCAGCCGCAGUAAAUACGUAGGGGGCAAGCGUUGUCCGGGAAUUAUUGGGCGUAAAGG